AGCGAACGCUGGCGGCAGGCCUAACACAUGCAAGUCGAGCGGCCGUAGCAAUACGGCAGCGGCAGACGGGAGAGUAACACGUGGGAACGCGCCCUUCGGUUCGGGAUAACUCAGGGAAACUUGGGCUAAUACCGGAUACGCCCUUACGGGGAAAGAUUUAUUGCCGAAGGAACGGCCCGCGUCCGAUUAGCUUGUUGGUGAGGUAACGGCUCACCAAGGCGACGAUCGGUAGCUGGUCUGAGAGGAUGACCAGCCUCACUGGGACUGAGACACGGCCAGACUCCUACGGGAGGCAGCAGUGGGGAACAUUGGACAAUGGGCGCAAGCCUGAUCCAGCCAUGCCGCGUGGGUGAUGAAGGCCCUAGGGUUGUAAAGCCCUUUCAGCGGGGAAGAUAAUGACGGUACCCGCAGAAGAAGCCCCGGCUAACUUCGUGCCAGCCGCCGCGGUAACAC
rnacentral:rRNA from 1 species